rnacentral:sRNA from 1 species
AUGCAUUCGCUACUACCGUAACGGUCUCUGCCUUCCCUUCGUUGCUGCGGCGCCACGCCAAUCUUCGUUUUCCCUUUCGCCGCCACACCACGGGCUCAAUCAGUCGCCCAUCCCGUGCAUACGCUGCCAUCCGUUGAGCCUCCUCUGCUACAUCGCGCCCCAAGGGUCAUCAAGUCACCUCCACUAGCCGUCGUGCGGGGCAAGCCUUGCUGCCGCACGGCAUGGAGUAAGUGGUUUUCCGUCGGAGUCCUUGCUGCUCCGUGAUUCUGCCACCAGAGCAUUCUCGAGUCCGCAUAUGACAAAAAAUGACGGACCAAUUCGAUCGCAGUUCCUCUUGACAGCGGGUCAGAAAGCGACUGGCCUCUGCUUAUUUCAAUGAACAUACAGAGCACUGUAUCACAAUCGCCUGCACUAACAGGAUUAAACUUGGUUACUAAAUGUUAUGGUUCCUUUAAUCACAGCCAACCAACGGAUAUGCACAUAUGAGGUGAAACAAAAAGUCGGCAGACCUUGCUGUGUGGCAAACGAAUGAGGUUGUGGGGUCAAGAGAGAUGAGCAAUCCAUAUUGCUUGAUCCUAAUUCGGGCAUGAUGGUGGAGGCGGUGAGAAGUUAAGUAGCGUGAAAAGCAUAGUUUCUCAAACCUUUGGUUUGAGACUUUUACUUUUAUUUUGUAUAUUGAUUCUGAUGGCGGAUAUUUUGCUGGCUACCUAGCGAAAUUCAAUUGCCACACAUAAACAAUGUGUGGGGUUUAAUUCCUUUUUUAUGUAAUAGUUUUAAUUUAUGUUUUUCAAU